GACGAACGCUGGCGGCGUGCUUAACACAUGCAAGUCGAACGGAAAGGCCCMUUCGGGGGUACUCGAGUGGCGAACGGGUGAGUAACACGUGGGUGAUCUGCCCUGCACUUUGGGAUAAGCCUGGGAAACUGGGUCUAAUACCGAAUAGGACCACGCGCYUCAUGGUGUGUGGUGGAAAGCUUUUGCGGUGUGGGAUGGGCCCGCGGCCUAUCAGCUUGUUGGUGGGGUAAUGGCCUACCAAGGCGACGACGGGUAGCCGGCCUGAGAGGGUGUCCGGCCACACUGGGACUGAGAUACGGCCCAGACUCCUACGGGAGGCAGCAGUGGGGAAUAUUGCACAAUGGGCGCAAGCCUGAUGCAGCGACGCCGCGUGGGGGAUGACGGCCUUCGGGUUGUAAACCUCUUUCAGUAUCGGCGAAGCUCCAGGAUUUUUCUUGGGGUGACGGUAGGUACAGAAGAAGCACCGGCCAACUACGUGCCAGCAGC
rnacentral:rRNA from 1 species